CUGCUAUCUCAUCAGCUGUAUCAUCCACUCUAUUUAUGCCAUCCGAUCUAUCAUCUGGAUUUGAAGCAGCUGAUACUCAUCGAUGCAUGCAGCCAACUCAUCAGCUCACUGCUCAGCCCACUGUCGAUCCUCAGUAGCCUACUUCUGUACCUCCGUCAGUCGAGCAUCGCAAGCAGCAUGGAUGUCAGCCCUAGACGAGUGUGAAGAUGAGGGAGCAGUGAUCCCAUACCCUAGACCCCUAACAUAAUAGGAUCUCAUACCAAGUACUUGAUCACAGAUCUCGUCAUCUAUGGGUG
rnacentral:lncRNA from 1 species